AUGAUUCAGUGUGAUUUACUCAACUUCAGCAUCUCUUGUUUGGUCAAAAACAAACAAGAUAACUCCAUUUGGAGGCUGGUCGCAGUAUAUGGCACUGCUUAUGAGCAGUUCAAGAUGUUCAUAAAUGAACUUCACUCCUUAUUUUCUAUCUGGUCAGGGCCAACCCUAGUUGGAGGUGACUUCAAUUUAAUUAGAGAAGCCAGUGAUAAAAAUACUGGUGUUAUUAAUCAACACUGGGCUGAUCUGUUUAAUGACUGGAUCAAUAGUUUUGGCCUGCUAGAGCUUAAGAUCAAUGGGAGGAAAUUCACUUGGGGUAAUAACCAGGACAAUUUAGUGCUGGCUACCUUAGAUAGAGUUUUCAUGACCACUGACUGGGCUUCUGCUUUCCCUGGUGUGAACCUCAAAGCACUACCUAGGUUGGGUAGUGAUCAUACUCCUCUGAUUAUUGAUACAUGUGCUCUACAUAUCCCCAGAGACAAGCCAUUCAGAUUUGAGAAGUGGUGCUUGGAAGUAGAUGGUUUUAGAGAUGUUGUGAAUAAAGCUUGGACUGCCAAAUGCCCUUAUAAUAAGGCCAUAGAUGUCUGGCAGUUCAAGAUUAGAAACUCCAGGAAAGCCAUUAAAGGUUGGAUGGCCAAUUAUGAGGCUGAGCAAAACAGGAACAAGCAAACCUUGGUGGCUGAAUACAAUUGUCUAGAUAUUUUUUCUGAAUCCAACCUUCCUUCCCCUAAUACUAACAGGAGAAUGAAAAAAAUUGCAGGGGACCUGGAAGAUAUCUGGAGAAAGGAAUAAAUUAAGGCCAGACAGAGGUCCAGGGAGAGAGACAUUCUGGAAGGGGACUUGAAUGCUGGAUACUUCAAAGCUGUAUCUAAUCAGAAAAGGAGGAGGUAGCAGAUCAUGGCGCUGGAAGGUAAUGAAGGUAUUGUAACUGAUCCUGAAGAUAUUAUGAAUAUUGUUGUGAACUUCUACAAAACUCUUUUUGGCUACCAAGAUAAAAUCAACAUCAGUCUGAAAAAUGAUUUUUGGGAAGAUGGAGAGAGGGUGACUGAUGCACAUAAUUGCAUUUUGGAUACCCCCUUCUCAGAAAAGGAGAUAAAGGAUGCUGUCUUUGGCUCAUAUGCUGAAGGAGCUCCUGGGCCAGAUGGCUUUCCUUUUUUAUUUUAUCAACAAUUUUGGGACCUUGUUAAAGGUGAUCUAUUUGCUUUAUUUGAUGAUUGGGAGAAAGGUGAGCUAGACCUAUAUAGACUCAAUUUCUCUUUACUUACUCUAGUACCUAAAGAGGCUGAUGCCACUAAGAUGGAAAAAUUUAGGCCUCUUGCUAUGAUUAAUUGUAGUUUCAAGAUCUUUGCCAAGUGUGCUACGAAUAAAUUUGGCCCCAUCUGCAAAGAUUUAAUUUCUGUGAAUCAGACAGCCUUUAUAAAAGGCAGGUAUAUAGCUGAGAGCAUUAUUGCAGCCCAUGAAAUUAUUCAUUCUGUUCACUCCAGCAAGCAGACUGGUUUUGUGUUUAAACUAGACUACGAAAAAGCUUACGACAUGAUUAACAGAGAGUUCCUGAUAGACAUGAUGUAUAAGAGAGGUUUUAGUACUAACUGGAUGAGGAAAGUUAAAUCUCUCUUAUACAAAGGUUCUGUUGGGGUCACUAUCAAUAAUAAGAAUAGUGAUUUUUUUUAUUGCGGGCAAAGGAGUGAGGCAAGGGGACCCCUAUUCCCCUUUGCUUUUCAACCUAGUAGCUGA
rnacentral:rRNA from 1 species